GAGGGUAGGCCCCUCGGAGCCGGUCUGCAGGGGCAGGCUCCAAACCACCUUAAGCUGCGCUGGUUAAAUGCCAGGGUAGUGAGCGUUAAGGAAAAGGCGUGGAAGGACCGCGUCAGGU
rfam:Syntrophobacter sp. DG_60 WOR1_52_54_4230, whole genome shotgun sequence.